GCCAGCUCCCACUCUAGUUUUGAACAUUUUGCCAUUCAUUCCUAUGGGACCAAUUUCGCCACAAGAACGACGAUAUUCAGUGAACCAUUCGGCAAAACAUUCCACAAAGUAAUAGCACACCAAUCGGGAACAAUCCGCACGUUUCUGUAUAUUACUGUCUAUGUAGUGUAAAAACUGUGGGAGGAGUUAGGGUGGUAAAUUUGGCUAUAAUAAGAAUGAGAAUAAUAUAUAUGUGAGAUAACAUUAAGUGGUUUUGCUAUGCAAGAACACUUAAUUACA